CGUAGUAAUACUAACGUAAUGCGGUCACAGGCGUGCAUACUGCCUUCAACGCGGCCCAAAUAAAACAAGCUAUGCGUUUUAUAAUACUUUUUAUAAACACAUUUUCAUAUAAAAACAUUUUUUAAGUGACGUGUCAACUGGCUUUAGACGCUAAAAGGGCUUGACCCCUAUUUGAUGCUGACUUCACAUCCGCUUUUCCUCAUUCAAAGAAUCAAGCAGCCACAAGAGCAUUUUUCUUAACCAGCUGAGAUUUGGCCCGUAUGGAGGGUGAGAGCGUUGGUUCUGCUGUUAGUUGAUGACACCUCCUGUCCAGGCGGUUGGGUUGCCAGUAUACUUGGCUCAUCAUGAAAGCCAAGACGCAGAUACAGCUGUGCUGUCAUUUAAGGGACAUUAAGACUGUUUAUUCACGUACAAUGUACAUUUGUCUGUAUGUAUGUUAGGUUUAAUGUGAGUUAUGGAGGUAGUUUUGAAACAGUACUGCGCCUUAUUGUGCAUACGUGGAAAACUAAAGUGGAAAAACAAAGUCUGGGUAUUAUACCAUACUAAUAUUUUUACAGUAAGUGCACUUUUGUUUUAAAAUGCAUUUAUUUAUUUAAAAAUAAUUUAAUCAUAAAAUGCAUUAUUAUCAA